AAACCAUGGUGAGGACACCUUCUCAAAAGGUCUUUGUAUCUCUCCCAUGUAUCAUAGAGUGUUUCUAAAUCUAUCUGCACAAAAGAAGAGAUAUCAUUACGUAAUU
rnacentral:snoRNA from 1 species